AGAUGUGGAAGUUCCCAGACUAGGGGUCGAAUCAGAGGUGCAGCUGCCAGCCUAUGCUACAACCACAGCCAUGUCUGCAACCUACACAACAAAGUGCAGGAGUGCUGGAUCCUUAACCCACUGAGCAGGACUAGGGAUCAAAUCUGCAUCCUCGUGGAUGUAGUGUUUGUUUCCACUGGAACACCAAGGUGGCUCUUCUUUAGGAGGUUCUUGGUAUCAGGGAAGUUACAGAGGCCCCCCCCCCCAAACCCACCUCUCUCUGUAGGAAUGUGACUAUGUGCCCAGCCUGCUGACCUGACCCCAGGCCCAGGAAGGAAUCCCUCAAGCCCAUGACCACUGGUGUCUCCUGCCAGGUAAAUUCCUCCAUGCACGUACUUCUCCUUGAGUGGACGACGCAGAUGAGCAGCCUUCCUGGCUACAAUUGGCCCAGUCACCUUCCCUGCCAGCUGACAGACCUGUCUCUGGAGAGGAUGACCUCCUUGGUUAUGGGUUAAGUGCUAACAUUUACCUCUGACCUUGGUCUUAUUUUGGGUGGAACGGCAGCGACCUCCAAGUUCCACCCUCUGCAUGUCACCCUCUCUUCUUUGUGUCCCCAGAGAGUUGUGGUCUCCAACCUGCUUUGAUGCUUGUCUGCCUUCCCUGCUCUGACCUGCGGACCUGAAACUGAGUCCCUUUAUACAGCAAAGACCAACUCUAACAGUGAGAGGCAGUUGUAGGCCCUCAUGGUCACUGACCUGCUCUGACACUUGCCUGACCUCCUUCCUCUGAUCCAGCAACCUAACUCCUGGUCUACUUAUACAACAGAGACACAGCUCUGACAGCAAGAGGUCAUAAAGGCAGUUGGAGGCCCUGUGGUCUCUGACCAGCUCUGACACUUGCCCAUCUUCUCCACCUCUCCUGCCCCAUCCCUGGGUGCAUUUCCACCAAAGAGGUGCAGAUGUAGAAGUGAGAAGUCAUGAAGAUGUGCUGGUGGGUCUACAAGGGGAUUCCCCAAAAGGUGAGAGGACAGGCAUGGUCUCUGUUGUUGGACCUGGAGAAGGUGAAGGCGGAGAACCAAGGGAAAUACCAGGUAUGGCCACUAUACCUGUGCCUCAGGGACCCCUCACCCAUCCCCAGCUUUCCUGGCAUCUCCCAGGCUCAGAGGCCCAAGGCUGCACAUGCUAGGAAGCCAUGGCCACCUCCUUGCUGCCUGUCCCACUGGGAUUACAAUAAGACCGCCCAAAUACCUGAGGGGGACAGAGUCACAGAGCAAGGAACAGAAGCCAAGAGGAAAGAGCAAGGAGACCCCCACAGAAACCAUGGAAGGAGAUGGCCAGGCCAGAUGAACACAGGCCUGACUGACUUGGGACAAGAAACAGGCCUCAACCCAUUGACCCAAAGAGGUCCCUGCCCCUGGCCAGUUCCUUCCACUCAGCCCCUGUCCCCACAGAGUAUACCAAGGUCCCACAGCCCAGGGUGGGUGCUUUAUGCACCUGCUGAGCAGCAUCAGCAGGUGAAGUGUAGUGGGAGUGGGUGUGACAGUGGCCAGCAGCACCUGCUCUUCUGUGGCAGUUGGUUAGGGUUCUAGGCAUAUGACCUCACCACCUUCCACCCCCAGCUCCACCCACAUAGAAUGAAGGAGCAGGCCAGGCUCUAGUCUCUGGAUAUCAAGUUUAUUGACAUGAAUGUGAGCAACACCUUCUAAAACAAUAUUAUGUUCUGGGAGCACUACAGCAUAAAGUCAGGCCACUGGGCCACUGGUCCUGGGACAGGGGAGCAAAUGGUGGUGGCCAGUGGUCCUAGGGGGAGGGGAGCACAAGGAAAAGGGCUGGAGCUGAGGUGGCAAGAGUGGGGCCUGUUCAGAGUACCUGCAGGAGUGGGGGCACACGGAGCAGGAAUGGCCCUGAGUGUGGUUGGCUGAGUCUUCAGAGGUCAACAGGUCCCUGUAGGGAGCAGAGGAGAGGGGAGGGGCACAGGGCAGCAGAGAGCAGGCUUGACCAGGACACAGGAGGAUGGAGUGAGAUUCAGAAGGGUCAAAAUGACACCUCACUUUGAUGUUUGUCUACUUUUUUAGACAAUCUGUAAUAAUUGUUAAAGUGUGAUGGAGCCCCCAAUUCUAUCACUUGCCCCAUCCAUUGUCCCACACUCACCACACACUUGACAAGUGGCAGGUGUUUAUAGUGAGACCAUUGUUCCCUUUUCAGGCAGCAGGCCCUCUUCAACGUGCUUGCUGCUUACUCUCUACAAUGCAGUGAGUACCCACCCCUGGCCAGCCAUCCCACAGUGGCCCUGCUUCUUAAGUGGCCUGUUGGUGCCAGUCAGCUCCCCCAGCCACAGAGGUGAUGCAAGGGGAGCUCUGCUCUCCAACCAACAUGGAUGGGUGGGGGACAGAUACCACUUUUCAGGACAGAAAUGACACCUUAGGCCUGGGCUGAGCCAUCCCCCAUACUUGGAAAUGUCUUAUAGCAAGUUCACAUGUGCCUGAAAACAUUGCUGUGGUUGUGACAUUUGAGUUUGGAUCCUGAAGAUUUUAUGGAUCAGAAUCUUAGCAGGGAUGAGAGUUCCCAGAAACCCAACUCCUGUGUGGCUCAUGGGAGGCAGCUCACCACCCCAUCUGCUCUUUUCAGAAAAUUCCCUCAAGGAACACCAGCUGAGAUGACCCCACAGCCUGCCCACAGUGGGGUCUGGUGCUGCCCCUCCACCCCCAUGGCACUCCAAGCCCCACACAUGUCUGUCAGCAACCCCCUGCCUGCCCUCAUGGCAGGACCUCCAGACCUUGCUGGUCCCCAGCUCCGGGCAUGCCUCAUCAUGGCCACUGCUACCACUGCCACCUGGGGACUGAGUAAUUCUCUGUCCACAUUUCCCCUUUUUCAGGCUCCCAGAGGCUGUGGCAGCCCCAGAGGUGGUGGCAGAGGCAGUGGCUUAUGAGGCAGGCACAUCUCUCUGCCCCUGACUAUAUACCACACUAUCAUUACUCCCAUGUAAAACCCUGUUCCCAACAGAGUAAAGAGGAAUACAGAGGUCAAAAAAUGUCACUAGAAUGUUAUUAAACAAUAACAACAACAAAAAUGCAAUUACAGAUAAUAAAUGAUACAAUAUGAAUAUUUUAUUUCUAUCAUGAUCUUUACAUUUCCUUAUUUUAUUACUAUAAAUUUCUUGCCAAUAUGUCUCACCUGACAACAACAACACCUCUGCAAUGUAGGUGUUAUUAUGAUUAUUCCCAUUCUACAAUUGGAAAACUGUGAAGUUCAAAAAAGUUUAAGAAAAUCUACCCAUAUCACAGUUAGUACUUAGAUCUGUUUUCUUCUAAAACCAAAUUUGAAUCUCUUUCAAUGCUGUCAAAAAAAAGAGUAUUCCAUCAGAACCUCCCUUGUUUUGUAUUAUAACUGAAUUUUUUAUUUUCUUUGUGCCUUGCUAUAUGCUAUGCCUGAAUAUAAAAUCAGUUUGUUCUCAGAAAGCUUUAUCGCCUACUGGUAUUUAGGAUAGUGUGGAAUAUGAUAUAGAAGGAAUAUGCUUGCCAGUAUACUAUUGGAACCUAACUGAUAUACCUGUCCAAAUGUUUUUGGAAUUCUUAUUUUGUUGGAACAAGAUGUCAGUAUUAUAAAAAUUAACUGUAGGAGUUCCCCUGAUGGCUCAGUGGCAAUGAACCCAAUUAGUAUCCUAGCCUAAAAUUUAGUGACCUGGCUUCAUUCUUACCUUUUGCAAAUGAUGUUCAUAUUCCCUGUCUUAUAUUUCUUUGUUAUAAAUUGUGAAUGUAAUUGCC
rnacentral:lncRNA from 9 species